rnacentral:piRNA from 1 species
UCAUAUGUAUGAAUGGUCACUCUCCUCCC